rnacentral:rRNA from 1 species
AUUGAACGCUGGCGGCAUGCUUUACACAUGCAAGUCGAACGGUAACAGGCCUUCGGGUGCUGACGAGUGGCGAACGGGUGAGUAAUGCAUCGGAACGUACCCAGAGGUGGGGGUUAACGCAGCGAAAGCUGUGCUAAUACCGCAUGUGAUCUGAGGAUGAAAGCGGGGGACCGAGCAGCAAUGUUUGGCCUCGCGCCUUUGGAGCGGCCGAUGUCGGAUUAGCUAGUUGGUGGGGUAAAGGCCUACCAAGGCGACGAUCCGUAGCUGGUCUGAGAGGACGACCAGCCACACUGGGACUGAGACACGGCCAAGACUCCUACGGGAGGCAGCAAUGGGGAAUGUUGGACAAUGGGCGCAAGCAUGAUCCAGCAAUGCCGCGUGCGGGAAGAAGGCCUUCGGGUUGUAAACAGCUUUUGGCAGGAACGAAACGGUGUCCGCUAAUACCGGGCGCUAAUGACGGUACCUGCAGAAUAAGCACCGGCUAACUACGUG